rnacentral:rRNA from 1 species
UACAGAGGUCCCAAGCGUUGUUCGGAUUCAUUGGGCGUAAAGGGUGCGUAGGUGGCGCCGUAAGUCGGGUGUGAAAUUUUGGAGCUUAACUCCGAAACUGCAUUCGAUACUGCGGUGCUUGAGGACUGGAGAGGAGACUGGAAUUCAUGGUGUAGCAGUGAAAUGCGUAGAGAUCAUGAGGAAGACCAGUGGCGAAGGCGGGUCUCUGGACAGUUCCUGACACUGAGCACGAAGGCCAGGGGAGCAAACCGGG